rnacentral:tRNA from 1 species
GCCCACGUAGCUCAGUCGGUAGAGCACAUUCUUGGUAAGAAUGCGGUCACCGGUUCAAGUCCGGUCGUGGGCUCCA